GGCUGUGAUUGAACCGCAGUAUACUAUGUCUGGCAAUGUGGAGGUACUGAUGGGGGUUGCUGAUCAUGUGCUGUUGGUGGAAGAGGAUGGCGUUCAGGAGGUUGGACUUGGAAUUGGGCCUCUACAGAAAAUGGUGGUUUCCCGGAAUGGGAAGCUUUUGGCAUCUUUUACACAUGAUGGAAGGCUUCUUGUUAUGUCCACGGACUUCUCCAGUGUCAUUUUCGAGUAUCCUUGUGAGUCAGCCUUACCCCCUGAGCAGCUAGCUUGGUGUGGAAUGGACAGUGUACUACUUUACUGGGAUGAUAUGCUUCUGAUGGUGGGUCCUUAUGGAGACCCUGUACGCUACUUUUAUGAUGAACCAGUUCUCCUUAUCCCUGAAUGUGAUGGCGUUAGAAUACUCUCCAAUAUGAGUAUGGAAUUUCUUCAUCGAGUUCCAGAUUCAACUGUCUCCAUAUUUCAGAUUGGUAGCACACUACCUGCAGCUUUGCUUUAUGAUGCCUUAGAUCAUUUUGACAGGCGGAGUGCCAAGGCUGAUGAGAAUCUGAGACUAAUACGGUCUUCGCUGCCCGAGGCGGUUGAAGCAUGUAUUGAUGCAGCAGGUCAUGAAUUUGACGUCUCACAGCAGCGGACGCUUUUAAGAGCAGCAAGCUACGGCCAAGCCUUUUGCAGUUGGCUUUGGCAGCCAUUUUCAACGGGACCGCAUUCAAGAGAUGAGUAAAACUUUACGAGUAUUAAAUGCUGUACGUCACCCAGAUAUUGGCAUUCCUCUCAGUAUUCAACAGUAUAAGUCGCUUACACCUGCUGUUCUGAUUGCUCGUCUUAUUAAUGCUCAUCGCCACCUUCUUGCACUACAAAUAUCAGAAUAUCUUAGUAUGAAUCAGGAGGUUGUUGUCAUGCACUGGGCAUCUACAAAGAUAACCGCAUCGGCGGCAAUCCCUGAUGCCACUCUUCUAGAGAUGUUACUUGAUAAGCUGAAGAUAUGCAAGGGAAUAUCUUAUGCUGCAGUUGCUGCUCAUGCGGAUAAAAAUGGCCGUCGGAAGUUGGCUGCCAUGCUUGUUGAACAUGAACCACGUUCAUCUAAGCAGGUUCCUCUCUUGCUAAGCAUUGGAGAAGAGGAUACUGCUCUAAUGAAGUCAACUGAAAGUGGUGAUACUGAUUUAGUUUAUCUUGUCCUGUUCCACAUCUGGCAAAAGAGACCAGCUUUGGAUUUCUUUGGGACAAUACAGGCCAGACCUCUAGCUCGUGAUUUGUUUGUUAAUUAUGCACGGCAUUACAAGCAUGAAUUUUUGAAGGACUUUUUUCUAUCUACGGGGCAACUUCAGGAUGUAGCUUUUCUGUUAUGGAAAGAGUCAUGGGAAUUGUCUAAGAAUCCCAUGGCUAGCAAAGGAUCUCCACUUCAUGGUCCAAGAGUAAAACUCAUUGAGAAGGUCCAGCAUCUAUUUGUAGAAACAAAGGAAAAUUUUUUUGAAUCAAAAGCUGCUGAAGAGCAUGCA
rnacentral:misc_RNA from 1 species